ACAGCCAUAUCAUAUUGAAACACCAGUUCCUGUAUGAUCACCAAAGUUAAGCAACAUCGAGCCUGGUCAGUACCUUGAUAGGUGACCUCUUGGGAAUACCAGGUGCUAUA